rnacentral:rRNA from 1 species
CCUACGGGUGGCAGCAGUGGGGAAUAUUGGUCAAUGGGCGCGAGCCUGAACCAGCCAAGUAGCGUGAAGGAUGACUGCCCUACGGGUUGUAAACUUCUUUUAUAAAGGAAUAAGGUGAGGCACGUGAGCCUUUUUGUAUGUACUUUAUGAAUUAGGAUCGGCUAACUCCGUGCCAGCAGCCGCGCUAAUACGGAGGAUCCGAGCGUUAUCUGGAUUUAUUGGGUGUAAAGGGAGCGUAGAUGGGUUGUUAAGUCAGUUGUGAAAGUUUGCGGCUCAACCGUAAAAUUGCAAUUGAUACUGGCAGCCUUGAGUACAGAUGAGGAAGGCGGAAUUCGUGGUGUAGCGGUGAAAUGCUUAGAUAUCACGAAGAACUCCGAUUGCGAAGGCAGCCUACUAAACUGCCACUGACAUUGAGGCUCGAAAGUGUGGGUAUCAAACAGGAUUAGAUACCCCAGUAGUC